CCUGAUCCUCGGGACAGUGACAGUCACAACCUCCAUGAUUGCCAGGACAGUGACAGUCACAAAUCCACGAUCCUCGGGGCAGUGACAGUCACAGCCCCAGGUCCCCAGGGCAGUGACAGAUCCGUGAUCCUCAGGACAGUGACGGUCACACCCCCGUGAUCCUAAUCCCACCCGCAGCUCCGAGCAGACAGCGGGGACACAGAGCAGCUGCAAACCGGCCAGAACAGGGACAGGGAAGGAAGAACCCAACAUUCCAAAGGGGAAUUUCAUCCCACAGCAGAGCCCCUUGGAGCUGGCAGGACCGGGAUGAGGGAUCCACAGGGACCCUGGAGCCUUGGGGACACGCAGAGACCUGGAUCUAGGGGGACACGAGGAGGGGACACUUGGGGACACGUGCUCCCAGCCUCUCUCCACAGGCUCUCUCUAGGCAGAUUCCACAUCGCUCCUCACCUCCGGACUUCCCAUGGACAACCAGAGCUCUUUGGACCAUUUUUCCACCCAAAAAUAGACACAGAAGUGGCUGGAAAGCAAAGCUGGACCAAAGGGACGCUGAGGGCACACAAGGAAGGAUUUCCCACCUCUCCAGGAAGGAUUUCCCAUCUCAUCUGGGAAGGGCUUCCCACCUCUGCAGGAGGGAUUUCCCAUUUCUCCAGGAAGGAUUCCCACCCCUCCAAGAGAGAUUUCCCAUUUCUUCAGGAAGGAUUUCCACUCCUCCAGGAAGGAUUCCCCAUCCCCUUUAGGAAUAAUUUCCCACCUCUCCAGGAAGGAUUUCCCACGCCUUUGGGAAGGAUUUCCCACGCCUUUCAGAAGGAUUUUCCAGCCAGGCCUUACCUCUCUUGGGGACCUUCAUGGCAGCAGAUUCUGGGGUUUCUGGGGACGUUGUGUCCGCUCCAUCCUCAAAUACCUGGAUCUGGGAAAAGCACAACGACCAUCACUGUCCAAAAUUCCCAAACAGGGAAAGCAGGGAACAGGUCCCUCUGGAGUGGGUUCAGCAGAGCAGAUCCCAUGGUUUUGGCAGGGACUUUUAAUUUCAUCAUUCCAGCUUUGCCAUCGACCACUCUCCUCCCUGAGAACAGCCACACACUCCUCAUUCCCAUCGGGAAUACGGAAUAUUCACAUAGGCAAUGAGGAAAGUCAAAGCUCUGGAUUUGACAGCCUGGAACAUCCAAACCAGAUUCAGGGAUUUCUUUCUGGGAACUAUUUUUGGACGCAUUUUUGCUGGAUAAACAUGGAAAAUGAGGUUGGGAGGAAUUAGAUUCCUGAGAGAGAACCUCAGAUCAGCACCUCCCAAAUUGUUCCUGCAGGAAUUUGCCUGAUCCAUCAGCACCUCCCACCUGGGAGCUCAGCUUAAAAAUCAAAAUAACCUGGGAAGCUGUCAGACAGGGAUUCCAUUUUGGGAAGAUUCCCAGCACCAGGAAUGAUGAAAAUGGAAUUAAAAGCCACAAGGAGACCAAGGAAAAGGUGAUGCCAAGGAAAUCAUGACACCUGCAGCCAUGCAGGGUGGGAAUUCCGAGCGGUCUGGGGGUUUCCCAGCAGGUACAGCCCAGGUGGGAAUUCCAGAGCUGCUGGAGAGGCUGGGGACAGGGACAGAGCGGGGCUGGAUCCGGGGUGACACUGGGCAGGGCCACCACAGACUGGGCACGUCAUGGCCAUCGAGCUCCUCUGCCAGGCAGGAGCAGCUCCAGGUGAUGCCAAAAUCAGGGAUUUCCACACUCCGGAAAAGGAACAGCCACGCUUGGAAUUGCCAGCCCAGGUAAACGUCCAGGAUCGAUCCCAAACUCCACCUGCUGCAGGUGAUAAAUACAGGGCAUCACAGGGCUGGGCACUUCAUCGGGAAGCAGAACGAAACCGCUGGGAAUUCACCCAAUCCAUCUGAAAACAUUCCGCAAUAACCCUGUGGGAUGAACAGGACCUCAAGGAAUUGUGCAGAGGGGGCUUGGAGCCACACCAGCAGGCACUGGAGCGAAGGGAUCUGGAUUUUCUCCCAAAACCUGGGUGGGAAGCGCUGCUUAAACGAGCGAGCCACCAUCCGCGCGCUCCCGAGGAACUCCGGGAUCGAUCCCACCCACCUGUGACUGCCGCACGAAGAUGCCGUGGUUCUCCUCGCAGGUGAAAUAUUUCCUGCCCUGCACCGUGCCAUCGUUCUUGCCCUUGGCCUCGUCCAGGAUGACCCCGACCCAUUUGCCGGUGGCGAACAGCGUGGCCCCCACGUAGGCCACGGUGCCGCGGUGGCCCUUGCCGAUGACCUCCACGCGGGAGCCCACCUUCAGGGGCUUGCUGCCGCCGUCCGCGCUCAUCCUGGGCGUGCUGGAGGCCUGGGGAAUCAGGGGAAAGCACAGCUUGAGAAGCUGGGACAGGCAGAACGUUUGGAUAUCGGGAUGUUUCAUCGCCCUCCACCCCCUGUUUUAUUUUGGGAGGCAGCCAAGGGUGAUUCCUUCCACAAACCAGGGCACAGCCGCCAUCAGUGGUCGCUCCGGCCUCACAAAUCUGAUUAAUUCCUUUUUAUAACAUUUUUAUGAGCCUUGGGGGGGAAAAAAAAAACCACCCCAAGAGCAGCACAAUCAGCCUUAA